UACGAAGGUGGCAAGCGUUACUCGGAAUUACUAGGCGUAAAGGGCAGGUAGGCGGUUUGAUAAGUCUGUUGUGUCAGCUCCUGGCUUAACUGGGAGAGGUCAACGGAAACUAUUAGGCUUGAGUGUAGGAGAGGAUACUGGAAUUCCUGGUGUAGCGGUGAAAUGCGCAGAUAUCAGGAGGAACACCAAUGGCGAAAGCAAGUAUCUGGACUAUUACUGACGCUAAGCUGCGAAAGCUAGGGGAGCAAACAGG
rnacentral:rRNA from 1 species